rnacentral:lncRNA from 1 species
CUUGAAUGUUCUAAAACAUGUCUUUGAGUGACGACGUGCAUGCAUUUCUCUUGGAUAUUUACUUACAAGUGGGUUUGCUGGUCACAAGGGUUAUAUAUGCCAACUUUAUAGUAGAAACUCCAAAAAGAUUUCCAAGGUGGUUGUACAAGUUUCUCCUCCUCUCAGCAGAGUAAGGGAUUUCCAGCUGUUCACUAUUAUUGUCAACACUUGUUUUUUUCUGAAGGAAUUCUACACUUUGUGUCUUAUUAUUUACUGUAUAUUUCUUGGCUUUGUUUUAAUGUAGGCAACAACUGAUUUACAUAAUUGCAUUCCUGAAAAUAAGCUACUGAAUGGGAAACGUGGACCAUUGAUGGUUAGUUAGUAAUAGAAGGGCAGAAACAACCUUGUCCACCAUCAUGACUCCUAGUCGCGGCAGGAUUUCAGAGAAACCCACCAGGGACCACCUGGAAUCUACACUGAACCAGCAUUCGCUACCAAGAGGGGCCCAUUGAGCCCCCCGGAUCACUGCAUUCUUCAGCUGACCCUCGCUCAUCGGGGAUGUGCACAGAAGGGCUGGUCACCAGGCACCCCGAUCCCCCACGGCGGUGUCAGAUUGCCAGAGGGAGAAACCGAGGCACGUAAGAGAGUGUUUACGACCUUUCUAUAGGGAGUAGCACUCAUAAGCAGCACAUUUUCCGAUCCAUUACUCUGUCCUUACAAGUUGUCUGGACUUUAUAACAAAACAAAAUUAAAAGAGAAGCGGGGAAAUCGGUCUUAAAACAGCCCGAUCAGUUCCCGAAUGGGCAGCCUCUCCUCUGGACUCAGGUUGGCUUCAUGCUGUGACCGCAAUUGCUUAACAAAGGGGGAUCCCAAGCCAGAUUGCUAAGGCCAAAAGAAAGAAAGAGAGAAAGAGGAAAAAAAGAAAAGAAAGAACUGG